GAUGAACGCUGGCGGCGUGCCUAAUACAUGCAAGUCGAGCGAACGGACGAGAAGCUUGCUUCUCUGAUGUUAGCGGCGGACGGGUGAGUAACACGUGGAUAACCUACCUAUAAGACUGGGAUAACUUCGGGAAACCGGAGCUAAUACCGGAUGAUAUUUUGAACCGCAUGGUUCAAAAGUGAAAGACGGUCUUGCUGUCACUUAUAGAUGGAUCCGCGCUGCAUUAGCUAGUUGGUAAGGUAACGGCUUACCAAGGCAACGAUGCAUAGCCGACCUGAGAGGGUGAUCGGCCACAUUGGAACUGAGCCACGGUCCAGACUCCUACGGGAGGCAGCAGUAGGGAAUCUUCCGCAAUGGGCGAAAGCCUGACGGAGCAACGCCGCGUGAGUGAUGAAGGUCUUCGGAUCGUAAAACUCUGUUAUUAGGGAAGAACAUAUGUGUAAGUAACUGUGCACAUCUUGACGGUACCUAAUCAGAAAGCCACGGCUAACUACGUG
rnacentral:rRNA from 1 species